UAAUAUUUAAAAUAUAUAACUCAGGGCACCAUCCUUGUUAAGUAAGGAAACCAAUAUUACUUCUAGUAAUUAAUGAAUCUAUAAAUCUGUCUCAUAUCAUUGGGAUGAAUUCUCAAGCAGUAAAAACCAUAAAAUUACACAGACAAAGUACUGAAAGUUUAUAUGAAAGUUUAAUAAAGAAAAAUGAUGAACAGAAGAAUUUAAAGGAAAUGCACAAUUGCCAUGGUGAGAUCCUUAUGUCAAGUUUGGAGUUUAACUAUAUUGUUUGAGGGAUUUAACAAAGUGGGAUUUUGAGAAAGAAAAUAAAAAGGGAACUUAAUAAAUUUGAUGAAAGUUGA